UUUAGUAAUUAAAUUAUGUGUGCCAUGAAAUGAAAAAGGUUGAAAAGUACUGAUCUGGACCUUUUGCUGUGUAAUCUUAUUGUAUAGGAUACUUUCACAAUUACUGUUGACUGAACACUGCCCACAUUACUUUGUCUAUUCACCAGGCCACAGCAUGGCAGUCCGUUAUUUUCCAUUGCCUCCCAUCUGCUCUUAGUUAAUGUGCCACAUAAAGAAGAAACAGCAUCAUGUAACAGCAGUACCUUCUUAAAUUGAUCAGUAUGGAUAGAUAGUUUAAAAAAUAAUUGCAGCCCUGGGAGGGGUG